UUUGCUUCAACUGCAGCCAGAGCUGUGCAGACGCGUGUGGAGUAGCAGGAUGAACAGAAGGGUGAACAUCUAUGGAGGAGCCAUUGCCUUGGGCCAUCCUCUGGGAGAAUCUGGCUGUAGGAUUCUAGUGACCUUCUCACACACCCUGGAGAGAGUGGGUGGGACUUGUGGUGUUGCAGCCCUGUGCACUGGGGGUGGGAUGGGGAUGGCAAUGAGUGUUCAGAGAGGAUAAGCCACCACCCUUACAGUUCUCAUUCAAACACUAAACAGAACGUGAGACCAGAGGACCAAACUGAGGACAGGAACCCAGGUCGACAGCUUGCUGUACUUUAGUGUGAGACACCCAAGGCUAAGACGUUGAGACAUUGCACUUGACACUGUUAUAAAACAGGGAAAUCCAGUCAGUCAUCAAGGGCUCCAGAGUGAGCGACAGUUUCAUAAUUUCCAUGUUUAUUAUCUUUGCUUUCCGGGUA
rnacentral:lncRNA from 1 species